rnacentral:rRNA from 1 species
CACGUAGGGCGCGAGCGUUGUCCGGAAUUAUUGGGCGUAAAGAGCUCGUAGGCGGCCUGUUGCGUCCGCUGUGAAAGCCCCGGGGGCUUAACCCCCGGGUCUGCAGUGGAUACGGGCAGGCUAGAGGUAGGUAGGGGAGAAUGGAAUUCCCGGUGUAGCGGUGAAAUGCGCAGAUAUCGGGGAGGAACACCGGGUGGCGAAGGCGGUUCUCUGGGCCUUUACCUGACGCUGAGGAGCGAAAGCGUGGGGAGCAAACAGG